rnacentral:rRNA from 1 species
GAUGAACGCUGGCGGCGUGCCUAAUACAUGCAAGUCGAGCGAACAGACGCGGAGCUUGCUCCUCUGACGUUAGCGGCGGACGGGUGAGUAACACGUGGAUAACCCCCCUAUCAGACUGGGAUAACUUCGGGACACCGGAGCUAAUACCGGAUAAUCUAUUGCACCGCAUGGUUGAAUAGUGAAAGACGGUUUUGCUGUCACUUAUAGAUGGUUCCGCGCCGCAUUAGCUAGUUGGUAAGGUAACGGCUUACCACGGCAACGAUGCGUAGCCGACCUGAGAGGGUGAUCGGCCACACUGGAACUGAGACACGGACCAGACUCCUACGGGAGGCAGCAGUAGGGAAUCUUCCGCAAUGGGCGGAAGCCUGACGGAGCAACGCCACGUGAGUGAUGAAGGUCUUCGGAUCGUAAAACUCUGUUAUUAGGGAAGAACAAAUGUGUAAGUAACUAUGCACGUCUUGACGGUACCGAGUCAGAAAGCCACGGCUAACUACGUG